CACGAUCACGCUGUCACCUCUUUCGAUCAAACGGUCCACCAAGUGUGACCCAACGAACCCAGCCCCACCGGUCACCACUAUUCUCAAACCCUUCCGUUUUAGCCCCAGCGGGAUCUUCCCGCCCGAAUUUACUGAACCGAACCCGGCCCCAUGAGGUUCGUAGAAUUUGUAUCUCGCUGGCACCGACUCAUGAGAUAAGUGAGCCAGCGAAUCAGAGAUCGGCUCCUGUUUGUGAUGCUGCACAUAUGGGGCUCUAGAAGAGGAAGGAAGGACGGUAAAGAAAAGGGUGGCAAUAACAAUGCCGACGAGGACAAAGA
rnacentral:misc_RNA from 1 species